rnacentral:rRNA from 1 species
AUUGAACGCUGGCGGCAUGCUUUACACAUGCAAGUCGAACGGUAACAGGCCGCAAGGUGCUGACGAGUGGCGAACGGGUGAGUAAUGCAUCGGAACGUGCCCAGUCGUGGGGGAUAACUACUCGAAAGAGUAGCUAAUACCGCAUACGAUCUAUGGAUGAAAGCGGGGGACCGUAAGGCCUCGCGCGAUUGGAGCGGCCGAUGUCGGAUUAGGUAGUUGGUGGGGUAAAGGCUCACCAAGCCAACGAUCUGUAGCUGGUCUGAGAGGACAACCAGCCACACUGGGACUGAGACACGGCCCAGACUCCUACGGGAGGCAGCAGUGGGGAAUUUUGGACAAUGGGCGCAAGCCUGAUCCAGCAAUGCCGCGUGCAGGAAGAAGGCCUUCGGGUUGUAAACUGCUUUUGUACGGAACGAAACGGCUCUGGUUAAUACCCGGGGCUAAUGACGGUACCGCAAGAAUAAGCACCGGCUAACUACGUG